UGGGGAAUAUUGCACAAUGGGCGCAAGCCUGAUGCAGCCAUGCCGCGUGUAUGAAGAAGGCCUUCGGGUUGUAAAGUACUUUCAGUCGGGAGGAAGGUGGUAAGGUUAAUAACCUUAUCAAUUGACGUUACCGACAGAAGAAGCACCGGCUAACUCCGUGCCAGCAGCCGCGGUAAUACGGAGGGUGCAAGCGUUAAUCGGAAUUACUGGGCGUAAAGCGCACGCAGGCGGUUGAUUGAGUCAGAUGUGAAAUCCCCGGGCUUAACCCGGGAAUUGCAUCUGAUACUGGUCAGCUAGAGUCUUGUAGAGGGGGGUAGAAUUCCAUGUGUAGCGGUGAAAUGCGUAGAGAUGUGGAGGAAUACCGGUGGCGAAGGCGGCCCCCUGGACAGAGACUGACGCUCAGGUGCGAAAGCGUGGGGAGCAAACAGG
rnacentral:rRNA from 1 species